GUACUGUUGAAGAGUCCCAAACUAGGACGAAACAGCCGUCCAGUAC
rnacentral:hammerhead_ribozyme from 1 species